rnacentral:rRNA from 1 species
AACGAACGCUGGCGGCAUGCCUAACACAUGCAAGUCGAACGAGACCUUCGGGUCUAGUGGCGCACGGGUGCGUAACGCGUGGGAACCUGCCCUUAGGUUCGGAAUAACUCCCCGAAAGGGGUGCUAAUACCGGAUAAUGUCUUCGGACCAAAGAUUUAUCGCCUUUGGAUGGGCCCGCGUUGGAUUAGCUAGUUGGUAGGGUAAAAGCCUACCAAGGCGACGAUCCAUAGCUGGUCUGAGAGGAUGAUCAGCCACACUGGGACUGAGACAAGGCCCAGACUCCUACGGGAGGCAGCAGUGGGGAAUAUUGGACAAUGGGCGAAAGCCUGAUCCAGCAAUGCCGCGUGAGUGAUGAAGGCCUUAGGGUGGUAAAGCUCUUUUACCCGGGAUGAUAAGGACAGUACCGGGAGAAGAAGCGCCGGCUAACUCCGU